UACAGAGGGUGCAAGCGUUAAUCGGAAUUACUGGGCGUAAAGCGUGCGUAGUCGGUUAUUUAAGUCGGGUGUGAAAGCCCCGGGCUCAACCUGGGAAUUGCAUUCGAUACUGGAUAGCUAGAGUUCGGCAGAGGGAAGCGGAAUUUCCGGUGUAGCGGUGAAAUGCGUAGAUAUCGGAAGGAACAUCAGCGGCGAAAGCGGCUUCCUGGACCAGAACUGACGCUGAGGCACGAAGGCCAGGGGAGCAAACGGG
rnacentral:rRNA from 1 species